rfam:Camelus ferus unplaced genomic scaffold scaffold465, whole genome shotgun sequence.
AAGGGUAUAGCUCAAUGGUAGAGCACAUGCUUAGCAUGCACAAGGUCCUGGGCUCAAUCCCCAGUGCCUCCA